rnacentral:lncRNA from 1 species
GGAAUCCUGAAUCCAGCCCAGGGAUUUCUCUUGUCUUUGGCCUUCUACGGCUGGACAGGAUGCAGCCUGGGUUUUCAGUCUCCCAGGAAGGAGAUCCAGUGGGAAUCACUGACCACCUCGGCUGCUGAGGGGGCUCACCCAUCCCCACUGAUGCCCCAUGAAAACCCUGCUUCCGGGAAGGUGUCUCAAGUGGGUGGGCAGACUUCUGACGAAGCCCUGAGCAUGCUGUCUGAAGGUGACAAGCUUGGUUUACUUUGAAGACCAAAAAAUAUGGUGAUGAACUGAUGAAUUGAUUCCAUGAUACCGUACUGUCUGGUUGAAAUUGGGAGCCAUGAAGAGAAAGAGAUAGUUCUGGCUGAAGCUAAAAGACACAGAGAGAAGAUUUAUUUACAGACUUUCCGUCUGGUACAAAUAGUUCACGAAGCAUGAGGGACCCACCAGCUGGAACUGCUGUUAGUCUGUAGAGUUACUGAUACCAUCUAGGGAAUGAAGCAAAAAAUGUUAUCUUGAAUUAUUUGGCUUUGCAUUCCCAUCCUGCUGUUUUAAAGUGGCUGAGCAGAUAUUUGACAGUCAAAUAAAACACUAGAAAUAA